AGUAGUUCGGGCCAUGGAGGCGGAGCCGCCGCUCUACCCGAUGGCGGGGGCUGCGGGGCCGCAGGGCGACGAGGACCGGCUCGGGGUCCCGGACGGGCCCGAGGCCCCGCUGGACGAGCUGGUGGGCGCGUACCCCAACUACAACGAGGAGGAGGAGGAGCGCCGCUACUACCGCCGCAAGCGCCUGGGCGUGCUCAAGAACGUGCUGGCUGCCAGCGCCGGAGGCAUGCUCACCUACGGCGUCUACCUGGGUAGGUGCCGCUCGGGGACCCGGGGCCGCCCCGCCCGCUCCCAGCCCGGCCCGGGAAACAGAAACCGCGGGCCGCCGCCUCCCGCCCGCUCUCACUUCCCCUCCGCUGCCCUCGCAGCUGCAGCCACGGCCCCGCGCGGCGGGGGUGGGGUUGGGGGGUCAAGUAGCGCAGCGUCCCCGGGUCCCAGCCAGAGCCUCGGUGUGGGUGGGGGACAGGGGUCCGGGCUCCCGGACAGACCUGCCACCUUCAGAAUUGGAGGCCGGCGGAGCAAGGCGGGUGGGGGUCUGGGCUUAGCUGGCCAAGUGGCCGCGGGCUGGCAGAAGGCGUGGCGCAGCCCGGGAACCCGGCUGUCCUGAGGGGCGCUGUCAGCGGGAAUGCCUUCGGUGAUUGGAGCUCCCUGCGAGGCCUGCAUGCCGUCUUCUGCUCGGUGGCGCCCAAAGCCAGGCUGCUCCCUGCACGCCGCUCUCUGUCCUGUCCCCAGGCCUCCUGCAGAUGCAGCUGAUCCUGCACUACGACGAGACCUACCGCGAGGUGAAGUAUGGCAACAUGGGGCUGCCCGACAUCGACAGCAAAAUGCUGAUGGGCAUCAACGUGACUCCCAUCGCCGCCCUGCUCUACACACCUGUGCUCAUCAGGUUUUUCGGAACGAAGUGGAUGAUGUUCCUCGCUGUGGGCAUCUACGCCCUCUUUGUCUCCACCAACUACUGGGAGCGCUACUACACACUUGUGCCCUCGGCUGUGGCCCUGGGCAUGGCCAUCGUGCCUCUUUGGGCUUCCAUGGGCAACUACAUCACCAGGAUGGCGCAGAAGUACCACGAGUACUCCCACUACAAGGAGCAGGAUGGGCAGGGGAUGAAGCAGCGGCCUCCGCGGGGCUCCCACGCGCCCUAUCUCCUGGUCUUCCAAGCCAUCUUCUACAGCUUCUUCCAUCUGAGCUUCGCCUGCGCCCAGCUGCCCAUGAUUUAUUUCCUGAACCACUACCUGUAUGACCUGAACCACACGCUGUACAAUGUGCAGAGCUGCG
rnacentral:sRNA from 1 species